AUCCCCCUUGGGGUGACAUACGAAAAAAUUGGAAUGAUACAGAGAAGGGCAUUAAUGUGUGUCCGGAAGAUUUUGCCAUGAUUCCCGGAGUGGUCGAUCACUCCAUUUGUGGAAAAUUUCCCUUUUUGGAUAUUUUGAUAUUUUGACCCGGUCAGUGUCCGGGUGAAAAUAUAUAGAUAUUAUUCAGUUAGCAUGGCCCCUGCAUAAGGAUGACACGCUUUCCCGGAGUGGUAGAUCUACGGAUCUCAAUAUUUAU
rnacentral:snRNA from 1 species